CACCGUACUACUUGCGGAUAUCGAGAUUACUAGUUGUAUGUAGCCUUUCGCAGUCACAUGCUGAGUGUACUAUUCCAUAUUUCAAUGGAAGGUUAUUCUUGAUUGAAAGGAUUGUCACACAGUUCGAUCACCGUACUACUUGCGGAUAUCGAGUUUACUAGUUGUAUGUAGUCACAUGCUGAGUGUACUAUUCCAUACUUCUUCAAUGGAAGGUUAUUCCUGAUUGAAAGUAGGAAGCACCCGUCACAGAUUGGCUCUGCGGAACUGCAUGGAGUAGGAUAACACCGUGCACAUCAAAGAAGAAAAUGAACAUAUACUUUCCUAUCGAGCAGGAUGGUCGUGCCUUCUUCGGAGGCGGGGAACUGGUAGUCUUCCAUUGACUGCUUUGCUGUAUUGUCUCAGGGUCGAAAUAAAACAGUCAGGUUUCAUCGCAAGUGACUAUUUUCUCAAGAAAACGGUUUCCUUCCUUUUAGUACCGAGCUAAGGAUCGGCGUGAUCCCCGUACUCUUUUGCUCAUCUCAUCUUCUGUCAGCAGCCGUGGAACCCAACGCGCACUCACUCGACUCAUUUUCAAACUGUCUUUCAUUAUCCUCCGUACCGACCCAUAACUCAUGUCCAACAUCUUGCAUAUUUCAUAAAGAGUGACUCGACGAUCAGCGUCAACGAUGUUAUUCACGGCCUCGACGUCACACACUGUAGUUUGUGAAACCGGUCGCCCAGACCUCACGUCGUCACAAAUGCUUUCCCGCCCCUCACUGAACCGCUUGUGCCACUUGUAAACGAGCAUUCGCUUCACUUGAGUUUCACUCGAUGCUUCAUUCAUCAGUUUAAGUGUUUGCGAUGGAGUUUUCCCUAGGUUU